UUUUCAGGCAUUCAGCUACCGGUACAGCGAGCAGCAAGAGAAACUACAAAGGUGGCCGCUACGGGCAGACGUUCCAAAGAAGGUUUCCGUUGCUACAACUGCAACUCGAAGGGCCACAUGAGCAAGGACUGUAAGAAACCCGACAGAGUGCCAGGGUCCUGUUUCGGAUGCGGUGCCUUGGAUCAUUGGGUGGCUAAGUGUCCACUUAAUAAGGAGAAGCUGGCUAAAGGAUGCGACGACCAUGCUUCAUAGACUCAGGCAGUGAUGUUUCACUUAU